CCCGCAACGAGCGCAACCCUUAUCCUUUGUUGCCAGCGAUUAGGUCGGGAACUCAAAGGAGACUGCCAGUGAUAAACUGGAGGAAGGUGGGGAUGACGUCAAGUCAUCAUGGCCCUUACGACCAGGGCUACACACGUGCUACAAUGGCGCAUACAAAGAGAAGCGACCUCGCGAGAGCAAGCGGACCUCAUAAAGUGCGUCGUAGUCCGGAUUGGAGUCUGCAACUCGACUCCAUGAAGUCGGAAUCGCUAGUAAUCGUGGAUCAGAAUGCCACGGUGAAUACGUUCCCGGGCCUUGUACACACCGCCCGUCACACCAUGGGAGUGGGUUGCAAAAGAAGUAGGUAGCUUAACCUUCGGGAGGGCGCUUACCACUUUGUGAUUCAUGACUGGGGUGAAGUCGUAACAAGGUAACCGUAGGGGAACCUGCGGUUGGAUCACCUCCUUACCUUAAAGAA
rnacentral:rRNA from 2 species